AUAUUGGAGUGGUUAUAUUUGUGGUUUUUUAAUAUUUUUUGAAUAAAAAAUAGUUCCACAAAUAUAAUCUUUAAAUGGAUUUUUUUUAAAAGUUAAUUCUUUUUCAAAAAAAAAUAAGUAAUUAGGGUACAAAAAUAAAGUUAACAUAGGAAAGUUUGUGCCGUUUUGGCAUGUUUUGAUAGUGUAAAAAAGUGCACCCAAAGGUAGAUACCUUUGGAUGAAAUGAAACGUGCCGGUUUCCGAAGUAAAUUUGAUUUUGAAAAAACAUAGUGUUUUAGGCAUAAAAUGAAAAAAACUUUAAUUUUAAAAAUUUUGAAUUUUUUGGGGAUUAAAUUUGUUAGGGGUUAUUAUGUUAAAAAUGUUUUUUUGUAAUAUAGUGGGGCCAGGGGUUAGUGUGGGUGCAUACAAAAUUAUAAUUUUAUGAUAAUAGCUGGGUAAACGAGUGUUAAUAAAAGUUUGGUAUUGCAUACUAUUUGAGGAUUAUUUUAUUUUUUUAUUAAAAAUAGAAUUUAAAAGUAAAAUAAAAUAAGUGUUAAGGUGUUAUAAAAUUUAAAAUAUAUUUUAUGAAGUUGAAAAGGUGAUUUUAAGGAUAACUGUUAUAAGAAUUGAUUUAUUAAAGAGUUAUUGUUUUUUUAUUUUUGAAAUAAGAAAAGAGAAAAUUUAAAGUGUUUUAAAAAAAUGUUUUGUAACAUUUUUUAUGGGAAACUAAUUUGUUUUAGGAAAAUUUAACUUUAUUUAGUUUAGGGUAAAAUUUUAAUAUAUGUAGUUGAAAGUAAUUAUGUUUUAUAAAGAAAUUUUUUUUUUGAACUAUAUUUUUGAUCAGAUGUUUUUUAAAGACUUAGGUUUAAAGUUUUAAACUGUCUUCUGCUCUAUGAUAUUAUUAAAUGGCAGCUUUAGCGUGAGAGCAAUAAAGUAGCAAAAUAAUUUGUGUUUUUAAUGAAUUCGAGUAUGAACGAAGGUAAUGGUUGAGGGUUUAAAGAAAUGUUGGACGAUUUUUGGUUUAUUUAAAAAUUAUUAGAUUUAUUUAACAAAGAUAAGUCUUCGGAAAUUUUUUUAAUUUUAGGUUUUUUAGGGUAAAAUAAUAGGUAAUUAAAUUUUCUAAGUUUAAUAAAAAAAAUUACUCCGGAGUUAACAGGACAACAUGCUUUUUAUAGAUGUUAUAUUAAGGUGGGUGUUACAUCGAUGUUGUAUUUUUAUGAUAAAGGAAGUAGAGAAUUUUUUUUUUGAGACUGUUCUUCUUUAAAUAAAUAAAACGUGAUAUUAGUUUAAUUCAUUGUGAGAUAGAAUUGUUUAUCUUGUUAAUUAAAAAUUAGGAAAUUGGUAUUAGUACGAGAGGAAUAUAUUUAAAAAAUAAUUUUUUUGAGGAUUG
rnacentral:rRNA from 1 species